rnacentral:rRNA from 1 species
GACGAACGCUGGCGGCGUGCUUAACACAUGCAAGUCGAACGGAAAGGCCCUGCUUUUGUGGGGUGCUCGAGUGGCGAACGGGUGAGUAACACGUGAGUAACCUGCCCUUGACUUUGGGACAACUUCAGGAAACUGGGGCUAAUACCGGAUAGGAGCUCCUGCUGCAUGGUGGGGGUUGGAAAGUUUCGGCGGUUGGGGAUGGACUCGCGGCUUAUCAGCUUGUUGGUGGGGUAGUGGCUUACCAAGGCUUUGACGGGUAGCCGGCCUGAGAGGGUGACCGGCCACAUUGGGACUGAGAUACGGCCCAGACUCCUACGGGAGGCAGCAGUGAGGAAUAUUGCACAAUGGGCGGAAGCCUGAUGCAGCAACGCCGCGUGCGGGAUGACGGCCUUCGGGUUGUAAACCGCUUUCGCCUGUGACGAAGCGUGAGUGACGGUAAUGGGUAAAGAAGCACCGGCUAACUACGUG